rnacentral:rRNA from 1 species
GACGAACGCUGGCGGCGUGCCUAAUACAUGCAAGUCGAACGCAGUGGGGACGGGUGAGUAACACGUGGGUAACCUCCCAUCAGAGGUGAUCACACUUGGAAACAGGUGCUAAACCGAUACUGAUUGAUGGACCCGCGGUGCAUUAGCUAGUUGGUGAGGUAACGGCUCACCAAGGCCAUGAUGCAUAGCCGAUCUGAGAGGGUGAGCAGACACACUGGGACUGAGACACGGCCCAGUCGACUACGGAAGGCAGCAGUAGGGAAUCGUCGGCAAUGGACGAAAGUCUGACCGAGAAACGCAGCGUGAGUGAAGAAGGUUUUCGGAUCGUAAAACUCUGUUGUUAGAGAAUCGGUAUCUAACCAGAAAGCCACGGCUAACUACGUGCCAGCAGCCGCGGUAAUAC